rnacentral:rRNA from 1 species
UACGGAGGGUGCAAGCGUUGUCCGGAUUUAUUGGGUUUAAGGGGUGCGUAGGCGGCCCGUUAAGUCAGUGGUGAAAGCCUCCAGCUCAACUGGAGAACUGCCAUUGAUACUGGCGGGCUUGAGUACAGACGGGGUAGGCGGAAUUGAUUGUGUAGCGGUGAAAUGCAUAGAUACAAUCAAGAACACCGAUUGCGUAGGCAGCUUACUAGGCUGUAACUGACGCUGAGGCACGAAAGCGUGGGGAGCGAACAGG